rnacentral:rRNA from 1 species
CCUACGGGAGGCAGCAGUGAGGAAUAUUGCGCAAUGGAGGCAACUCUGACGCAGCCAUGCCGCGUGCAGGAUGAAGGCGCUACGCGUUGUAAACUGCUUUUAACCGGGAAGAAACCCCAGGACGUGUCCUGGGUUGACGGUACCGGAGGAAUAAGCACCGGCUAACUUCGUGCCAGCAGCCGCGGUAAU